rfam:Stegodyphus mimosarum contig85998, whole genome shotgun sequence.
GCCUUCGUAGUGUAAUGGUCAGCACGUUCGGCGCGUAUUCGAGAGGUCUGAGGUUCGAGUCCCGGCGAGGACA